CCUACGGGAGGCAGCAGUAGGGAAUCUUCCACAAUGGGCGAAAGCCUGAUGGAGCAACGCCGCGUGGGUGAAGAAGGUCUUCGGAUCGUAAAACUCUGUUGUUAGAGAAGUAAGUGCGUGAGAGUAACUGUUCACGUUUCGACGGUAUCUAACCAGAAAGCCACGGCUCACUCCGGCCCAGCCGCCGCGGUAAGACGUAGGUGGCAAGCGUUAUUCGGAUUUAUUGGGCGUAAAGGGAGCGCAGUCGGUCUUUUAAGUCUGAUGUGAAAGCCUUCGGCUUAACCGGAGUAGUGCAUUGGAUACUGGGAGACUUGAGUGCAGAUGAGGAGAGUGGAACUCGAUGUGUAGCGGUGAAAUGCGUAGAUAUAAGGAAGAACACCAAUGGCGAAAGCAGCUCACUAAUCUGUAACUGACGCUGAGGUUCGAAAGCGUGGGUAGCAAACAGGAUUAGAUACCCGAGUAGUC
rnacentral:rRNA from 1 species